rnacentral:rRNA from 1 species
UACGUAGGGUGCAAGCGUUGUCCGGAAUUAUUGGGCGUAAAGAGCUCGUAGGCGGUUUGUCGCGUCGGUUGUGAAAGCCCGGGGCUUAACCCUGGGUCUGCAGUCGAUACGGGCAGGCUAGAGUUCGGUAGGGGAGACUGGAAUUCCUGGUGUAGCGGUGAAAUGCGCAGAUAUCUGGAGGAACACCGGUGGCGAAGGCGGCAUCCUGGACCGAGAUUGACGCUGAGGCGCGAAAGCCAGGGGAGCAAACGGG